rnacentral:rRNA from 1 species
ACUGGAGUUUGAUCCUGGCUCAGAUUGAACGCUGGCGGAAUGCUUUACACAUGCAAGUCGAACGGUAGAGGGGGCAACCCCUUGAGAGUGGCGAACGGGUGAGUAAUAUAUCGGAACGUGCCCAGUCGUGGGGGAUAACGUAGCGAAAGUUACGCUAAUACCGCAUACGAUCUAAGGAUGAAAGCGGGGGACUCGCAAGAGCCUCGCGCGAUUGGAGCGGCCGAUAUCAGAUUAGGUAGUUGGUGGGGUAAAGGCUCACCAAGCCAACGAUCUGUAGCUGGUCUGAGAGGACGACCAGCCACACUGGAACUGAGACACGGUCCAGACUCCUACGGGAGGCAGCAGUGAGGAAUUUUCUGCAAUGGGGCGAAAGCCUGACAGAGCAAUACCGCGUGAGGGAUGAAAGCCCUAUGGGGUUGUAAACCCUCUUUUCUCAAAGGGAGGAAAGAUAUGACGUUACUUGAGGAAUAAGCAUCGGCUAACCCUGUGCCAGCAGCCGCGGUAAUCUGAUGGCGCGAGGG